rnacentral:lncRNA from 1 species
AGCUGCAGCAUAAUGUAAGGCUUGUGGUCUGUCUUUUUUAAAGAUAGAAUCUUUACCAACAUAUAAAUUAAAUUGAAAAUAGGCUGGGGGAAAAAAUCAGGAGGAGAGUGGGAAAUGAUUGCAUACUGCAUGCUGAACUAGGUUAGUGAAAUUAAUACUGGUAUGCUGCCAUCACCUAAAAGCAUGUUGGCUCCCUGCAGUGCAGCUUAAAAGAUCUUGCAGUGCUCUUGACACAGAGGAGUGGAGAGAAAAAUUGACAAGAAAUCAUUUGGGUGGUUUCGGAGUUUUUGAAAUCUUUGAUGGAAAUCAUGUUAACUUUCUACAGUGAGCAAGUGAAUGGUAUUCUGAUCACAAAUUGUAAACUCUAGCAGUCUUUGUCAGAAAGCAAUCCAUAUGACUGCUAGUCAGUUGUAGAGAAAGAGAACAGUCCUUGCACAGGACUCCUUCAAGAAAAGUUUUAUUAAUAAUAAAUGAUCAUCACUACCUUUCACUUCAAGUCUGUCUUGGGUGUUCACCAAAGGUUUCCACUGAUCACAGCAUUUCAUUAUUGAUUUACCAUUCAGAAUUUCUUUAAUUCUUCCUGCAACCAUAUCUUUUGCACCUUGUAAACUUAUGAUCAAUUUGGUAGGUUGGAGAGAUGUAUCUUCCUCUGAUAUAUCUCCAGGAGAAUUUAAUUCUGACACGUUUUUUCAAAAUACUAUAAAAUUUCUUCACAGAUUUCUUUUUCUAAUACCAUGUAGUUCUGAACAUAUUUUAAAUGUAGUGCACAGGUAGAAUUAAGUAAUGUGGGCUCAUAAUUUCAGUGGAGCUAUACUUAUUUCUCCAACUAAUUACUUGCUUCAGGUUUUUUUUCAAUUUAUUAUUUAGUGGCUUUAAUCAAGAUGUGAAAAGAAGAUCUUUGUAUCUUUAAGAGUUCGUCAGCAUCUACCCUAAAUGUUUUCCAUUUAAGGUUAACUGGCCUUUUCUUUUGCGGCCAACAAACUACUAUAACUGGAGAGAGCAACUGGAAAAACUGAAAUAAACUCCAAGUGCAACUAAAACUCUAAAAUAGCAUAUCUUUUCCUGCAUAUAUUCCAGAAUCUAAGCUCAACAGAGGCCUUGGGGGACAGGGCUCAAAGGAGAGAGGAGGAGCUGGGAAACAAAGCCUAUCAUGUGUGGAUAGUAGCCUUGUUGCAGAGACAUCACAAGAUUUCGCUUUCAUUGGCCACAGUCUUAUUUCAGAAAAAAAAGAGAUUGCUUUAGAACAAAUGUUUCUGCAGCAAUAUGGAUAUUUUAAUGGUAUCAUGCAUUAUUCCUGAGUGUGAUCCAUUUAUGAAUGAACGGUCUCUAGCUGCUCAACUAAGUCUGCCUCAUGAUAAAGAUAGACUAAGCUUGAAAGGAGGCUGACAAGCACUUAACAACCUUUGAUUACUGGCAAUUUACCAGGCAUCAAUGUCUUCUCCAGUGACCUUAGUGAAAUCUUAUGCCACACAGAAGAAACAUGUAUAAAUAGCUUGACCAAAUUGAUUAGAUAGGUGGCACUUCUGCAGGAGUGAAUGUUACCUUUGUUUAAAAAAAUAGUCAUAAUCACAGUUCAUUUGCAUUUUUACUGAUAACUUCUGCAAGGGACUGAGUGAGGGAGAGUCUUUUAGCCUACCUGGAUGGAUUGGAGAUGGAGCAUUUUAGGAAGGCAGUACUGGCAUGCUUUCAGUGUGACUGACCAGGGGUGCAUCUGUUUACUAUUUAAAGAGCAUCUGUAAUGCUGAUAACCCAGUGCAUUUCAAGAGAACACAGCAUGUAUGUUAAGAAACAGGAGUAUAAUAAUGGUUUUAUUUUUCUUUUUUAAUCCAACAAGGUUGUUAGGGAAAUAAUUUCAAAGCCCUUGAAAACAACACAAGGUGUUCAGGAGUAACAUUUUUAUAGCUAGUACUACUAGUAUUAUAAUGUUCAUUUAUUCCUUUUUUUAACCCCCUCCUAAAUAUGCUCCAUAUUCUCUUAAAAAAAGUACAGGGAUCCAAGAGUGCUUUUACAUAACAUUUUUAGGAUCUUGCCCUUUUUGAAAGUUUUGAAAAGCCUUUAAAAAUUAUGAAAUGUAAACUACAAGGUAACAUAAAAACAUAAAAAGAAAAAAUACCUAUUAUGUCUAGUGUACCAAGAGACUUUGCUAAAUGUUUGCUAAGAUAGUAUCUUUCGACUGGAAAAUUUUAGAUGAAUAAGUAAUAGUUAUUAAAUCUUUAGUGUGUGUAGUACUUUCUAUUUAAGAUUUUUAAUUUAAAAAAACUGUAGUGAAUUUGUGUGAUUAGUUGCUGACAGGUUUUUUUUUAACCACAUGUAAUACACAAAUCUGUUCUUACAUCUCCUGAAAUAUUUCUCUCCUCUUUCCUUCUUACAAUUCUGAAUGGACUGGAUUUAAGAAAAUCUGAUCAUAUAAAAAAAAUCUCUAAAAGAUAAGAAACAUAUGUAAAAACAAAUAAUGAGAAAGUUUAGCUAGAGAAAUUCAGAGAAAUGCAUCACAUUUCCAAAGCUUCAGCAGCAUUCAGAAAACACAUUUUCUCUGUGAAGUGGUUUUCUGUUCUUUCAGUGUAUCAUUAAUAUCAGUGGUACUACUCCUGGGACAGGACUUCUGAAACUGGUGUUACUGCAUUUGGACAGCGUGGUGCCACAGGAGAAAAAAAUCUAGGAAGAGCUUCUGAAAAAAAUUGCAUUCAAACAUUGCAAUCUGGUAUGCCUUAAGAUUUUCCUUGUUUCUAAGGUUUCUUUUAUCUUAGUAUUUUUUUCUUUUUUACAGGACCUGGCAGUGCAGUAGGUCCUUCAGUGGGCCUUAAAGACACAAUGCAAACAACAGGAGAGCAAAGAGUACAUGGGUUAAAACAAUAAUAAUUUGUGGUUACCUAAAGGUGUAUUUACCACACCACUGUCCAGUAGGUAAAUUAUACACAAAGAGGAAUUUGUGUAUUUUGUGCAGCCACUUUGGUUGGUGCUUCAGAGAAUAGAUGAAUGAGAAGGAGCCUUGCAAAAUGGGACAGCAGACAAGCUUAUACUCAGCAAAAGAUGUAGGAAAACUCAGAAUGAUCCAUUUCAGAGAAGCAGAUGAGAUAUAUAUAGAUAUAGAUAUAGAUAUAGAUAUAUAUAGAUAUAUAAUGGUCAGUGUACAGAAUGUGAGGGGAGCUGCAGUGACGCAAGUCUGGUGAGUGGUACUAUCUUAAAGAUACUAAGACAGAGGAAAGGAAAACUUGGUCCUCAUUAACCUUAGUCCUCAUUAAUCUCAGCAGGAUCCCUAACACUGUGAAAGUAGUAGUUGAUUUAAUUAAGUUAAUCCUUGAUCUCCCCACUAAAUGACUCAACCUGGAAAGAACCACAGUCCAAGCAAAUUUCUUCUGAUCACUCUGGAGCAUCUAAUCAGCAAAAGAUAGCACUAGGCACAGUUUAGACAAAAACCUCAAUUGGCACCAGAACUAAAACAAUAUUAUCGACCCAAAAGAUCUGUAGGCCUCUGGUAUCCCUCUGUGAAAAAAAAAAAAAAA